rnacentral:lncRNA from 1 species
AAAGGUUCGUGCAGGGUAAGAGUGGACCAGUUCGGGGGAACACUUUCAGCCCGUCAAAGCUUCGGGAUUUUUAGUGUUAGGUCCAUUCCGUCUGUUCGGACCUACUUUUUUCCGUUUUUUAUCUCUCAUUUCAAAAUGACAGUAUUGACCUCGUCACCUCUCAAACGCAUCCCUUCGACGCGGCCACCAUUCACUCUGGGUGAGCUGAAGAGAGCAGUACCCCCGCACUGCUUCCAACGAUCCCUGCCGCGCUCCAUGUAUUACGUUUCGACGGACGUAGGUGCUAUACUCUUGUCUACCUAUCUCGCCACUUUCAUUCUCUCCUCCUGCCACCGUUUCUUCAAGUGAUAGCUUGGCCGCUUCAUUGGACAGUCGCAGGCAGUUUCAUGCUCGGUGCUUGGCUCAUUGGUCAUGAUUGUGGCCACCAUGCGUUCAGUGACUACAAGUGGCUUAAUGACGCCAUCGGAUUUGUCCUUCAUUCGGCAAUGCUUACGCCUUAUUUCUCGUGGAAAUACUCUCACACGUCGCACCACGCUAACACUGGAUCUACAGAACGACAGGUCGUGUUCUUGGUGAAAAAAAGGACGCCCUCCCGUGGCAUGCUAGAUACACGGACAACCCCCCUCUUCGGGUCCUCAACUUAACGAUAUCCCUCUUCAUUGGCUGGCCGUUGUACUUAACUUUCAACGUUUCCGGGCGCACCUACGAUUCCUUUGCGAACCAUUUCUACCCUCAGGGUCCCAACUUCACGCGCCGUCAGCGCGCCCAAGUGCUCCUCUCUGAUAUGGGCGUCACAUCGGUCGCUUAU